rnacentral:misc_RNA from 1 species
UACGGAGGGAGCUAGCGUUGUUCGGAAUUACUGGGCGUAAAGGGCGCGUAGGCGGCAUAUCCAGUUAGGCGUGAAAUCCUCGGGCUCAACCUGAGAAUUGCGCUUAAUACUGAUAAGCUAGAGACCGGUAGAGGGAAAUGGAAUUCCUAGUGUAGAGGUGGAAUUCGUAGAUAUUAGGAAGAACACCAGAGGCGAAGGCGAUUUUCUGGGCCGGUACUGACGCUGAGGCGCGAAAGCGUGGGGAGCAAACAGG